rnacentral:lncRNA from 1 species
GAGAAAGAUAGGGGCUUACAAUUUUGCCUCCCAACCAUUUACCUCAACGGUAAUGUCAACAAUAAUGAUUCGUGAAUACUUACUUCCAAGUUGACAUAUGAAUAUAGAUCUUUUCCAAGCAUAUGACGUUAGCUAAGAUAAAAGCGAAAUAAGGAAUUCGUGAAGAUCACCAUGACUCUUUCAAGGGCAAAAAGUAAAGGUACAACAUAGGCCCUUCACAGAGGGAAGCAGAGGUUGUCAUGCACUUUUGAGGUUUGGAUGGGUGUCCUCUUAGAGUGGGGGAACGUCACUUUAUAUUGCCUCCUGUGAUAAAGAACUUUAUUAUGCAGUCUGUCGCUUUUAUGUCUUCCCACUACAAGAAAUAAGGUCAAUUAUGACUCCCUAUAUUGGUCACUGAUUCGUCAUUGUAUUCGUUUGCUGACCUUUUUUUACCAAAUAUACAACGUCAACAGUUG